rnacentral:rRNA from 1 species
AUGGUCAAGUGAAUAAGAGCAUAAGGCGGAUGCCUUGGCACUGGGAGCCGACGAAGGACGUGACAAGCUGCGAUAAGCUACGGGGAGGAGCACAUAUCCGUCAAUCCGUAGAUUUCCGAAUGGGGGAACCCACCUAUAGUAAUGUGUAGGUAUUUUCGUAUGAAUCUAUAGUACGAAUAAAGGCAACCCGGGGAACUGAAACAUCUAAGUACCCGGAGGAAGAGAAAGAAAAAUCGAUUUCCUAAGUAGCGGCGAGCGAAAGGGAAAGAGGCCAAACCGUUAGUUUACUAACGGGGUUGUGGAUCACAGCCGUGGUAGAUACAAGUUUAGCAGAAGACAACUGGAAAGUUUGCGACACAGAGGGUAAUAUCCCCGUAUGCGAAAAAUGAGUAUCACCUAUGUGACACCAGAGUAGGACCGAACACGUGGAAUUCGGUUUGAAGCCGGGGGGCCCACCCCCCAAGCCUAAAUACUACCCAGUGACCGAUAGUGAAUAGUACCGUGAGGGAAAGGUGAAAAGGACCCCGGGAGGGGAGUGAAAUAGAACCUGAAACCUUAUGCUUACAAGCAGAGGGAGCGCAAGUGACCUCGUACUUUUUGUAGAACGGGCCAACGAGUUAUGGUAUGCAGCGAGGUUAAGGUGCUGGAGCACUGGAGCCGUAGAGAAAUCGAGUCUGAAAGGGCGAAAGUUGCAUGCUGUAGACCCGAAACCGGGUGAUCUAUCCAUGUCCAGGUUGAAGUAACUGUAAUAGGUUAUGGAGGACCGAACUUAUAUCUGUUGAAAAAGGUUAGGAUGAGGUGUGGAUAGGGGUGAAAUUCCAAUCGAACUCGGAUAUAGCUGGUUCUCCUCGAAAUAGCUUUAGGGCUAGCCUCGUAGUAAGAUACCUGGGGGUAGAGCACUGAAUGUUCUAGGGGCCUUCACCGGUUACCGAAAACUAUCAAACUCCGAAUACCAGAGUAUCAUCUACGGGAGUCAGACUAUGUGAGAUAAGUUUCAUAGUCGAAAGGGAAAC